rnacentral:rRNA from 1 species
ACGGCAGCACGGACUUCGGUCUGGUGGCGAGUGGCGAACGGGUGAGUAACAUAUCGGAACGUAUCCAUAAUGGGGGAUAACUAAUCGAAAGGUUGGCUAAUACCGCAUACGCCCUACGGGGGAAAGCAGGGGAUCUUCGGACCUUGCGUUAAUGGAGCGGCUGAUAUCUGAUUAGCUAGUUGGUGAGGUAAAGGCUCACCAAGGCGACGAUCAGUAGCUGGUCUGAGAGGACGACCAGCCACACUGGAACUGAGACACGGUCCAGACUCCUACGGGAGGCAGCAGUGGGGAAUUUUGGACAAUGGGCGCAAGCCUGAUCCAGCCAUUCCGCGUGAGUGAAGAAGGCCUUCGGGUUGUAAAGCUCUUUCGCAAGGGAAGAAAACUUACUUUCUAAUAAAGAGUGAGGUUGACGGUACCUUGAUAAGAAGCACCGGCUAACUACGUGCCAGCAGCCGCGGUAAUACGUAGGGUGCGAGCGUUAAUCGGAAUUACUGGGCGUAAAGCGUGCGCAGGCGGUUUUGUAAGUCAGAUGUGAAAUCCCCGAGCUCAACUUGGGAACUGCGUUUGAAACUACAAGACUAGAAUAUGUCAGAGGGGGGUAGAAUUCCACGUGUAGCAGUGAAAUGCGUAGAGAUGUGGAGGAAUACCAAUGGCGAAGGCAGCCCCCUGGGAUAAUAUUGACGCUCAUGCACGAAAGCGUGGGGAGCAAACAGGAUUAGAUACCCUGGUAGUCCACGCCCUAAACGAUGUCUACUAGUUGUUGGUGGAGUAAAAUCCAUGAGUAACGCAGCUAACGCGUGAAGUAGACCGCCUGGGGANUACGGUCGCAAGAUUAAAACUCAAAUGAAUUGACGGGGGCCCGCACAAGCGGUGGAUUAUGUGGAUUAAUUCGAUGCANGCGAAAAACCUUACCUGGNCCUUGA